UAGGUUUGAUAUUUGCUAACAAAGAAUAUCUGUUUAUAUCUACACUGAAAAACGUGGAAACCACGACGGAAAAUGAAUCAACUGCAACAUCAAUUUUCAGGACAGCAUUUCAAGGGAUACAAUCUUUCCUCGUGAAUAACUGGAGAAGAUCAAGAAUUACAUUGGUGUAUCUCAUUUCACUUAUAGUUUUGUUUAUAUCGAAUGUUGGUUUACUUGGAAUAGCAAUAAACAUAAGAUAUGAUACUGUGUUUGGAAAUUCAGAUAUCCAGGACAUACUUUCGAGAUUUAGUAUAGCAAAUCACACUUUCAGCAAAGCUCUCAACACGUUUUCUAUCGUGGUUUCAACUUUUUCGUCAUUGUCGAUUGUUGCAAUUAUCUACUCUGUUGUUGCCAUUGUUUCAUGGAGAUGGAGGAGAAUAUUUUUAUAUACAAGUGCUGGAUUGUGGAGUGUUAUAUUGGUUGCAAAUAUAGUACAGAUAGGUCUAUGGGG